rnacentral:tRNA from 1 species
GGUUGAAUAACAUAAUUGGUAAUGUAUUGGAUUGCAAAUCCUUUGAUGACGGUUCAAGUCCGUCUUUAACCU